rnacentral:lncRNA from 1 species
AAACCAAACACAGAAAUUAGAAUACCUCAAAACACAUGGUUCCAAGACAUAAACUAGCUACAUCGUGAUCUGAUGAUACAGUACAUAUGAUAUGGACAAAGAAGCAUAGGUAUGCAUGGUAGUUUAAAUGCCAACAAGACACGUUCAUAGAUAUGGACUGUAAUCAAAUUAAACCAGAAUUAUACAAGGCCUUGAGUUGCUUAACAACUACCAUAGCCCGAGAAAACAAGUUUUACCUUGAGGUACUCCUUGAUCUUGUCAGCAUGUGGGUACGAGUAGUCUGUCUCGACAGCAACAGCAAGCACAUUCUUGUACCCAUUGAUGAACAUGUGGGGCACAGCAGCAAGGGUCGGGUACGAGAUCGCCAGUGACAGGGAGGCAACCAUGGAGACACCAGUGGCAAACUUCUCAAUCAGGUCCUCCUCGGAAAGGUCAAGCACCUCAGGGCUGAACACGGACCCAUCCUCGUAGACACUGGUGACCUGGAGGCCGUAC